AGAGUUUGAUCAUGGCUCAGGACGAACGCUGGCGGCGUGCUUAACACAUGCAAGUCGAACGAUGAUGCCCAGCUUGCUGGGCGGAUUAGUGGCGAACGGGUGAGUAACACGUGAGUAACCUGCCCCUGACUCUGGGAUAAGCGUUGGAAACGACGUCUAAUACUGGAUAUGAUCACUGGUCGCAUGGCCUGGUGGUGGAAAGAUUUUUUGGUUGGGGAUGGACUCGCGGCCUAUCAGCUUGUUGGUGAGGUAAUGGCUCACCAAGGCGACGACGGGUAGCCGGCCUGAGAGGGUGACCGGCCACACUGGGACUGAGACACGGCCCAGACUCCUACGGGAGGCAGCAGUGGGGAAUAUUGCACAAUGGGCGAAAGCCUGAUGCAGCAACGCCGCGUGAGGGAUGACGGCCUUCGGGUUGUAAACCUCUUUUAAUAGGGAAGAAGCGAAAGUGACGGUACCUGCAGAAAAAGCACCGGCUAACUACGUGCCAGCAGCCGCGGUAAUACGUAGGGUGCAAGCGUUGUCCGGAAUUAUUGGGCGUAAAGAGCUCGUAGGCGGUUUGUCGCGUCUGCUGUGAAAUCCCGAGGCUCAACCUCGGGCUUGCAGUGGGUACGGGCAGACUAGAGUGCGGUAGGGGAGAUUGGAAUUCCUGGUGUAGCGGUGGAAUGCGCAGAUAUCAGGAGGAACACCGAUGGCGAAGGCAGAUCUCUGGGCCGUAACUGACGCUGAGGAGCGAAAGCAUGGGGAGCGAACAGGAUUAGAUACCCUAGUAGUCC
rnacentral:rRNA from 1 species